rnacentral:rRNA from 1 species
GAUGAACGCUAGCUACAGGCUUAACACAUGCAAGUCGAGGGGAAACGACAUCGAAAGCUUGCUUUUGAUGGGCGUCGACCGGCGCACGGGUGAGUAACGCGUAUCCAACCUGCCCAUCACUUGGGAAUAACCUUGCGAAAGUAAGACUAAUACCCAAUGACAUCCCACGAAGACAUCUGAAUGGGAUUAAAGAUUUAUCGGUGAUGGAUGGGGAUGCGUCUGAUUAGCUUGUUGGCGGGGUAACGGCCCACCAAGGCAACGAUCAGUAGGGGUUCUGAGAGGAAGGUCCCCCACAUUGGAACUGAGACCCGGUCCAAACUCCUACGGGAGGCAGCAGUGAGGAAUAUUGGUCAAUGGGCGAGAGCCUGAACCAGCCAAGUAGCGUGCAGGAUGACGGCCCUAUGGGUUGUAAACUGCUUUUAUAAGGGAAUAAAGUGGGUCUCGUGAGACUUUUUGCAUGUACCUUAUGAAUAAGGACCGGCUAAUUCCGUG